GGCAGAGGGUGCAAACGUUGCUCGGAAUCACUGGGCGUAAAGGGCGUGUAGGCGGGAAGGAAAGUCAGAUGUGAAAUCCCCAGGCUCAACCUGGGAACUGCAUUUGAAACUCCCUUUCUUGAGUACCGGAGAGGAAAGUGGAAUUCCUGGUGUAGAGGUGAAAUUCGUAGAUAUCAGGAGGAACACCAGUGGCGAAGGCGGCUUUCUGGACGGUAACUGACGCUGAGACGCGAAAGCGUGGGGAGCAAACAGG
rnacentral:rRNA from 1 species